GGCCCCUGCGUCAGGCCAGCAGGAGGAUAGGUGAGUGUUGUGACCUGAGGGACUGACCGUGGAGCUCCAGGGGAACCUCCCAGCCAGUGACACCCUGGCCUUGGGCCAGACGCUGCCCUGCGCCCUUGAGUGACACCCAGGCCUCUCUACACCUGCCCACUUUCCCUGUGGCUAAUGGCUUAGAGUGAAGGACGGUGGGCGCGGGCUCAGCGUCCACCCUGCCCCAUGCACGCAGGCACCGAUCACACCAGGGCCCACACACAGGCUCCCAUCACACCCUGCCCCAUCACAGCAGUGCCCAGAGGGACAUGGAGGAUCCCAGCUGAGGGCCAGCCCGAGGUCACAGGGUACAAAGUAUUGAUGCUGGGUGUGUCUGUGAGGGUGUUGCCAAAAGAGAUUAACACGAGAGUCAGUGGGCUGCGGAAGGCAGACCCACCUUUCAUCUGGUAGGCACCACCUAAUCAGCUGCCAGCGAAUGUCAACCAGAAAAACGUGAAAAGGAGACGACCGGCCUCGCCUCCCAGCCUACAUCUUUCUCCCGUGCUGGACGCUUCCUGCCCUAGAACAUCGGACUCCAAGUUCAGCUUUGAGACUCGGAAUGGCUCUCCGUGCUCCUCAGCUUGCAGACAGCCUAUUGUGGGACCUUGUGAUAGUGUGAGUUAAUACUUAAUAAACUCCCCUUCAUAUA
rnacentral:antisense_RNA from 1 species